rnacentral:lncRNA from 1 species
UUGGGUUCUACCAAACCCAUAGGCAAAACUGUAGCUCUGCGUCUAGUUUAGAUCUUGUGAAGUUAGCAGUAUCCAACACUUUGUGUAUACAUACUUCAUGCUUCCUAAUCUUAGAGUUCGAACUGUCAUAUAUAUGUGAUUUCCUUCAAGACAAAUUCUUGAAACAAGAAAAUACUACUUCAGAAUGGAGUAUCCUGGACAUCGCCUAUUCUUGCGUAGAACAUUUGAUUUUUCAUACAUGUACUCAACUUAAGGUGGUCCAUAUCUUUUUGGGACAUUUCUACUUUGAAGGCCGUUGAUCAGGGCAAAACAAGUUGAAGAUGAAAAUUUCAGGUAACAAGCUGCUCUUCUGAAGUAGAUAAUGCUCCAACCCUAAAAUGGCAUUUUAAAUUGCUUGUCUGGUAACCUCUUGAGUCUCAAGGAAUGCUAGUCUUAUUUUGAGUCCUCGUUAAAUGGUUUCGUUUGAUACUUGCUCCUUGGGUAUUUGUUUUGGUACCUAGCAUGUUUGGAGCCUGAAUAUGUUUCUGUUAAAUUUCUAACUUUGUUUGUACUUUCUUGGCUUAGGCUUAACAUUGAACAUGAAAUGGAAAGUCUAUCAAUUUAAAAGGACUUUCUUUUAGCUACCGUCCCAAACAAAAGAGAUUAGCCUCUUGAUUGAUCGAUUAAUUGGAUCGAAGUACGAAGGGGCUGAUUGAAAUCUGAGAUCAGUCCAAGACUAAGGAUGAGCAACUAGCUGCUGCAGGAUUGGAUGUCUAUCUAUCUCACCACACUCUGCUACUCCUAUAAAGGCCGACGGA